rfam:Oryza sativa Japonica Group DNA, chromosome 9, cultivar: Nipponbare, complete sequence.
AAAGAUUACAGUUUUUUACUGUUCAUAUCCAAUGUUUAACCAUCCGUCUUAUCUAAAAUUUUUUAUGAUUAGUAUUUUUAUUGUUAUUAGACUAUAAAACAUGAAUAAUAAUUUAUGUGUGACUAAUUUUUUUAUAAAAUUUUUAAAUAAAACAGACGGUCAAAAGUCUUACAACUGUACUUGAA